UAUGCUGAAAGACCUCAGGCAUUGCAGCUUGAACUCUUCCAUGGCUUGGGCAAUAGCCUGCUUCUGCUCGUCCUUGAGAUUGGCCUCCGUCACAGGGAUGACGUUCUCCUGAUCGAGGUCAGAGAUCGACAUGUUGAUCUUGAUCUUGAAUCUGGUCCCACCGAGCGUGCCAAAAGAUGUGUUGAUGCAAAGCUGAUCUG
rnacentral:lncRNA from 1 species